rnacentral:lncRNA from 1 species
CUGGUCUCUCAGGGUCUGCCGCGACUGCCCCAUUCCUGAUUCUAGUCUUUGCUUUUUGAGACAACAGAGCACAAAUUCCAUUUCAGAGGCAACCGUGAGGCGUGCGACAUGGCCGCAGAUGGGGUUUAUUUCUUGGAUUUUUCUCUCCAGUGUCCCGUCUGAUCUGAGCUCUGUUCAUUAGAACUCAGGGUGUUUCUUGCUGAUUGAGUGAGAACGGACACAGAGCCCUGAAUUCUCCUGGAGGCUGCUCAUUGGAAAGUCUGCUCCAAUUCACUGCAGAUAUAUAAAGCCUCGCACCAGACUGCAUCUCGGGAAACACUGUUCUGCUCUGUUCUAUUUUGUCCUGUUCUAUUUCCCCCAAAGGCUGAGUGCGGAGCUUCCUGAGGCAAAACUCCUGUGGACCCACCAGGAAGCUGGUCUUGAAAGAUGCUGCACCAGACGACUCGUCCACUCACUAGAGACUCACUUUGCCGGAGAAGGGCUCGGGCGUCGUUGGAAGAACCCAAAGCCAGGCAUGAAAGGACCUCAGCCAGGGAGGGCACCGCAUUCACACAAAUGCUGCGUGUUCCCAUGGAAACAGCACAAAACCUGACCGAGGAAAUGAAUGCUGAAUUGGACUGAUUCCCCGUGAAUAAAGGGGAGAAACGCAAAGCAAUGUAAACAAAGCCAAAAGCAGGAGCAACGCCAGGGCAAACGGAGGCAGAGUCCUCGCGUAUCUGUGAUCAGCACCGGCCCAUCCUGGGUGCAAGAGAGCCCGCUGCCAACUCGCCCCCGUCACAGCAGCUGCCUCAGCCUCCCCAGCCAGCUGUCCCUAGCCCUGGACCUCACCACCCCUGCCAGCCCGUGCCAUCCUCAGUUUCGGGGCUCACUGCGGCUGCCGCUGGGCUUGAGGGAAGGGCAGUGGUGGGCGGGAGAGGCGGGAGGCCCUUCUAUGGUGCCCGUGGAGUUGUUUCCUGUGUGGGGUGCAGGCUGCCCAGCUGUGUUCACUGUGAAAAUCUACCCGGACACACAUUCACAACUGGUAAAUUGAACUUCAAUAAAAAGGUAAAAUGUAG